UACGAAGGGGGCUAGCGUUGCUCGGAAUCACUGGGCGUAAAGCGCACGUAGGCGGAUUGUUAAGUCAGGGGUGAAAUCCUGGAGCUCAACUCCAGAACUGCCUUUGAUACUGGCGAUCUCGAGUCCGGGAGAGGUGAGUGGAACUGCGAGUGUAGAGGUGAAAUUCGUAGAUAUUCGCAAGAACACCAGUGGCGAAGGCGGCUCACUGGCCCGGUACUGACGCUGAGGUGCGAAAGCCAGGGGAGCAAACGGG
rnacentral:rRNA from 1 species